AGCCUUGCUUCCCCCCUGCACACAGGGUCAAUCAGAUUCCUGAGGGGAAUUCAGACACUUGAGUCUAAGAGUGAUCCAGGAGCCCAAGGCCCUCUCUGGUUCUGAGAGGUUGGCCGGGCAAGCGCAAUUUCCAGUCAAAAUAUCAUUUGCCACCGUUACUUAGGUCAACUCCAUUCCCCCUCCAUCCACGUAAGUAAGGUUAUGACUGAUGAGUUUUGUGUGACUCACACUGGACACAAGAGGAGUUUGGGGUCUGGGCUGUUAACUGACCCUUAGGCUUGAGCUGCAUGUGUGGUCCCAUCCAGCAGCUCUUUGUUGUUUGUGUCCCCAUAGGGCAGCCUCUGUUUACAGUACACAAAGGUGGCAGGGGUCUGGCAGGCAUCCUUUAUUCAAUGUGCUCCCUGAUGCUGGCACCCAGGGUGGUCACUCCAAUUCCUCCACAAUCUCCACAUAAAGCCUCCUAUAGUCUUUAGGGGUGGAUAUAUUUAUCUCUUCCAAGGGCUUUGGAGAUCAUUCCUCCAUAAUGCCCCUGGACCCUGCCAGUCAACAUCCUCUCUUGCCUUCAUCACCGUGGUUACAUUGUGCUCCCCUGGGUUGGUCUUGAGCCCUGCCAAACACCCCUUGCAAGGAUAGGGUCACUCUUCUUGCUUCACCCCAGGUCUCUCACCCAUCCUCCCAGUUGAUGGUUGUGUGUGGAAGCCAGGAGUGCAGUUAACAUUGAAAGAGAUCACAUUCUAAAAAUGCAGUGAUUAUGAUCUAAGAGUUCAGGAAAAGACAUGGUUGGAAGAUGUGUUGAUCUAUAUGUAUGCUAAGAAAGUUGUAAUGGUAAGUUUAAGAUAACCAGAGACUUGCAUUUGUGGUUAUCGUCAGUGAAGCACAAUAAUAACAUUUAAGAGAGUCAUUGGAAGCCAGAAUUCAUGGUGAUAUGCUGGAUGCUAAAUCAUCAUGAAUAACGAUGUAACCAGAUUAAAGAAAUGAAUUGAGAACUAUAGUGGCAAGAGGAUUUAUUUGUUUCAAUGCAAAUAAGCUCCAAGGAGCCAUCACAUCAUGAGAAAUAACAACAUUCUUACCUUUUUUGUUGAGAUGGUAGAUGUAAAAUUAGCCAGGAAGGAGAUGCCUUUGACAAUACAGAAGAUAGUACCAAAACAGAGGUGGUACCUGGACCUGAACAGGAAGAUAUGGUGCCAGGACAUUAGGAAGAAUCUUCAUGUUCACUGAGCAGACAAUGAGGAAGUAUAUAUUGUUUCUUGCCAGAGGGGACCACGAAUUAGAAGUCCAUGCAUCUCCCUUGGCACUAAGCAUAACCUGAUAUAUAAUGGAUAUUCAAUAAAAAUUACAUGAAUAAAUUGACAUGCUAUGGGGUGUAAAUAUUCUAAACUACAAAUUACAGAAUCCUGACUUACAGCAAUUUCCUGGGCUUCCAAAAUACUAGAUAUAUGCUGAAGGAUCGGCUCUUCUAUGUUCAGAACGACGUUCAGAACCGUCUUGGACAAGAGAGCUGGCCUCCCUAACUUUGUGAUGGGGUGAACGAAAGACACAUUGCUUGAGGUAAAACUGAUUCAGUGCAAGAACGAUUAUGAGGUAUUGAGGAUGGGAAUGGAGAUGUGCUCUGACCCAUUUU